GAUGAACGCUAGCGGCAGGCCUAACACAUGCAAGUCGAGGGGCAGCACAGAAACAGCAAUGUUUUGGUGGCGACCGGCGGACGGGUGCGUAACGCGUAUGCAACCUACCUUUAACAGGGGGAUAACGGAGAGGAAUUUCCACUAAUACCCCAUAACAUCGAUCAAGGCAUCUUGAUUGGUUGAAAACUCCGGUGGUUAAAGAUGGGCAUGCGUUGUAUUAGGUAGUUGGUGAGGUAAUGGCUCACCAAGCCUACGAUACAUAGGGGGACUGAGAGGUUAGCCCCCCACACUGGUACUGAGACACGGACCAGACUCCUACGGGAGGCAGCAGUGAGGAAUAUUGGUCAAUGGGGCAACCCUGAACCAGCCAUGCCGCGUGCAGGAAGACGGCUCUAUAAGUUGUAAACUGCUUUUAAACAGGGAUAAAGCACAGUAUGUAUACUGUGUUGAAGGUACUGUAAGAAUAAGGAUCGGCUAACUCCGUGCCAGCCGCCGCAGUAA
rnacentral:rRNA from 1 species